rnacentral:rRNA from 1 species
GACGAACGCUGGCGGCGUGCUUAACACAUGCAAGUCGAACGGAAAGGCCUGCUUUCCCUUGUGGAUUGCGGGUACUCGAGUGGCGAACGGGUGAGUAACACGUGAGUGAUCUGCCCCCAACUUGGGUAUAAGCCUGGGAAACUGGGUCUAAUUCCCGAUAGGACUGCAGGGUGGUGCCUGUGGUGGAAAACGAUUUUCUAGUGGUUGGGGAUGAGCUCGCGGCCUAUCAGCUUGUUGGUGGGGUAAUGGCCUACCAAGGCGGCGACGGGUAGCCGGCCUGGGAGGGUGGACCGGCACAUUGGGACUGAGAUACGGCCCAGACUCCUACGGGAGGCAGCAGUGGGGAAUAUUGCACAAUGGGCGGAAGCCUGAUGCAGCGACGCCGCGUGGGGGAUGACGGCCUUCGGGUUGUAAACUCCUUUCGACCGCGAGGAAGCCACCUGGUUGGAAGGGUGGUGACGGUAGUGGUAGAAGAAGCACCGGCUAACUACGUG